GACGAACCGUGCGAACGUUGUUCGGAAUCACUGGGCUUAAAGGGCGCGUAGGCGGGCUGCCAAGUCCGGGGUGAAAGCUUUCGGCUUAACCGGAAAAGUGCCUUGGAUACUGGCAGUCUCGAGCGAGGUAGGGGCAUGUGGAACUUCCGGUGGAGCGGUGAAAUGCGUAGAUAUUGGGAGGAACACCAGUGGCGAAGGCGGCUCACUGGACCGGAACUGACGCUGAGGCGCGAAAGCGUGGGGAGCAAACGGG
rnacentral:rRNA from 1 species